AUUAAAUAGGGUUUAUCAAAGACCGAGGCAGUUCGUUAGAGAACUAAUUUAUGUUAUGGAGGUCGUAUACUUCAAUUGAUCCAAAAAAUGCAUAACGACAAAUCUGAGUGAUGAAGAAAUGAAAAUUAUGUGAUCUGAAAUAGACAAAAAACCGAGGCAGAGCAGUUCUGUUUAAUUACCAAACGAAUUUCACAAAAAUAUGUAAUAUGAUCACAUUGUUAACAUGCAUCUUAUUUUGAUUGUAUUGCCCAGGCCAUCCCGAAAACCUGCCACUAUAGUCUAUCCCCUUUAGCCACGACCCAAUAACUACAUGGAAGGGUUGUAACCAAGGCCAGAGUAUAUUCAAUUCUUCCAUCCAAUACUUUAUAGAUGAAUAGCAGGACAAUUUUGGAUUUUUGAAAAUAACCUCCAUGAUAGAAAUUUAAAACAAUUUAUCGGCGUAAUUUAUCGGCCCACAUCGAGCAACUUAAUUAAAAAGAGUUUUGUCAAAACGUGAGUUUUGUCAAAAUAUUUUGCUACACUUUCAAUCACAUGAAAACGGGGGAAAAAGUGAAAUUUUCUCAAGUUUGUACCGUUUCAAGAACUUUCAAACCUUGGAAUAUUUUGAGGUAGCUUUAAUAAUAAUC